rnacentral:rRNA from 1 species
UCAAGAUAGUAAGGGCGCACGGUGGAUGCCUUGGCGCCAGGAGCCGAUGAAGGGCGUGGACGGCUGCGAUAAGCCACGGGGAGCCGCUGCACAGGCGUUGAUCCGUGGAUUCCCGAAUGGGGCAACCCGACGCCGGUAAUACGGCGUCAUCUCGCUCUGAAUACAUAGGAGCGAGAGGGCAAGCGGGCGAACUGAAACAUCUCAGUAGCCCGAGGAAAGGAAAUCAACCGAGACUCCCCGAGUAGUGGCGAGCGAAAGGGGAUCAGCCUAAACCCGGCAGGUGUAAGCGGGCACGCGUUGCCUGCCGGGGGUCGUGGGACGGUCCUUCCGGGCGGUGCCCCGCCCGGCGGAAGUUACAAAAGCUGCAUCUAGCCGAAGACCCCUGGAACGGGGCACCACAGAGGGUAAGAGUCCCGUAGGCGAAAGGUGUAGCUCUUCCGUGGAUCGCUCCCGAGUAGGACCGGGCCCGUGAAACCCGGUUCGAAUCUGGGGGGACCACCCUCCAAGGCUAAGUACUCCCUGGCGACCGAUAGCGCACUAGUACCGUGAGGGAAAGGUGAAAAGAACCCCGGAAGGGGAGUGAAAUAGAACCUGAAACCGUGUGCCUACAAGCGGUCGGAGCGUCGCUAUGCGGCGUGACGGCGUGCUUUUUGCAUAACGAGCCGGCGAGUUAUCGUCACCGGCAAGGCUAAGCGAUGAGCGGAGCCGCAGCGAAAGCGAGUCCGAACAGGGCGUUCAGUCGGUGGCGAUAGACCCGAAACCGGGCGAUCUACCCAUGGGCAGGCUGAAGCGGGGGUAAGACCCCGUGGAGGGCCGAACCGACGUAGGUUGAAAACUGCGCGGAUGACCUGUGGGUAGGAGUGAAAGGCUAAUCAAGCUCGGAGAUAUCUGGUUCUCGCCGAAAUAUAUUUAGGUAUAGCCUCCGGUUAAUACCUGCUGGCCGUAGAGCACUGCUUGGCCUAGGGGCCCUACCAGGUUACCGACGUCAGGCAAACUCCGAAGACCAGCAGGCGUAUCCGGGGAGUCAGCCCAGGAGGGAUAAACUUCCUGGACGAGAGGGAAACAACCCAGACCGCCAGCUAAGGUCCCAAAGUGAUAGCUAAGUGGGAAACGAUGUCCGAGCGCUCAGACAACCAGGAGGUUGGCUUAGAGGCAGCCAUCCUUUAAAGAGUGCGUAACAGCUCACUGGUCAAGUGCUUGGGCGCGGAAAAUUCAACGGGGCUCAAGCUAUCCACCGAAGCUGCGGGUCCGCAGCGCUUCGGCGCUGCGGGCGGUAGGCGAGCGUUCCCGGGCCGGCGAAGCGGCGGCGGAAGCCAGCCGUGGAGGCUCGGGAAGUGAGAAUGCCGGCGUGAGUAACGAAAGAAGGGUGAGAAUCCCUUCCACCGAUUGUCCAAGGUUUCCUGAGCAACGGUCGUCGGCUCAGGGUUAGUCGGGACCUAAGGCGAGGCCGAAAGGCGUAGCCGAUGGGCAACGGGUUGAUAUUCCCGUACCACGUCGGGUCCGUGAUGACCGAUGGGGUGACGAGGAAGGCUAUGGGGACCCUGGCGACGGUUGACCAGGGGUAAGCGUGUACCUAGCGCUCUCAGGCAAAUCCGGGAGCGUGAUGAUGGGAGGCGCGAUGCCAGCUGGCCUACGGGCCGGCGAGCCCCGGACGCCAUGCCUCCGAGAAAAACCUCUAGGCAGGACCCACGUGCCCGUACCAAAACCGACACAGGUGGACAGGUAGAGAAUACCGAGGUGAGCGAGCUAACCCUCGUUAAGGAACUCGGCAAAUUGGCCCCGUAACUUCGGGAGAAGGGGCGCCCCGUUAGGGUGACGGUCCUUGCGACCCAAGCCCGAGGGGGCCGCAGUGAAUAGGCCCAGGCGACUGUUUAUCAAAAACACAGGUCUCUGCUAAGUCGAAAGACGACGUAUAGGGGCUGACGCCUGCCCGGUGCCGGAAGGUUACGCGGAGGGGUUAGCCGCCUUCGGGCGGCGAAGCUCCGAAGCUAAGCCCCGGUAAACGGCGGCGGUAACUAUAACCGUCCUAAGGUAGCGAAAUUCCUUGUCGGGUAAGUUCCGACCUGCACGAAUGGCGUAACGACCUGGGCGCUGUCUCAACGAGGGGCUCGGUGAAAUCGCAGUCUCGGUGAAGAUGCCGAGUACCCGCGGCUGGACGGAAAGACCCCGUGAACCUUUACUACAGCCUGAUAUUGGAGUCUGGGGCAUCGUGCUCAGGAUAGGUGGGAGGCUGUGAAGCGAGGGCUUCGGCCCUCGUGGAGCCGCCCUUGAGAUACCACCCUCGGUGUCCUGGGCUUCUAACCUCGACCCGUGAAUCCGGGCGAGGGACAGUGUCAGGUGGGUAGUUUGACUGGGGCGGUCGCCUCCUAAAGAGUAACGGAGGCGCGCAAAGGUCCCCUCAGCACGGUCGGAAAUCGUGCGUUGAGUGCAAAGGCAUCAAGGGGGCUUGACUGCGAGACUGACAAGUCGAGCAGGUGCGAAAGCAGGCCUUAGUGAUCCGGCGGUUGCAAGUGGAAGCGCCGUCGCUCAACGGAUAAAAGGUACUCCGGGGAUAACAGGCUUAUCGGGCCCAAGAGUCCACAUCGACGGCCCGGUUUGGCACCUCGAUGUCGGCUCGUCGCAUCCUGGGGCUGAAGUCGGUCCCAAGGGUUGGGCUGUUCGCCCAUUAAAGCGGCACGCGAGCUGGGUUCAGAACGUCGUGAGACAGUUCGGUCCCUAUCCGCCGCGGGCGUUGGAGAGCUGAGGGGAGUCGUCCCUAGUACGAGAGGACCGGGAUGAACGGACCUCUGGUGUACCUGUUGUCCCGCCAGGGGCACCGCAGGAUAGCCACGUCCGGAUGGGAUAACCGCUGAAAGCAUCUAAGCGGGAAGCCCACCCCAAGAUGAGCUCUCCCAUCCCCUCGAGGGAGUAAGGGCCCUGGGAGAACACCAGGUGAUAGGCCGGCGGUGUAAGCGCGGUAACGCGUUCAGCUGACCGGUACUAAUUGCCCGAGGGCUUGACGG